rnacentral:rRNA from 1 species
GAUGAACGCUGGCGGUGCGCCUAAUACAUGCAAGUCGAGCGAGACGGUAUUUAUGUUUACAUAUUUGCCUGAAAGCGGCGGACGAGUGAGUAACACGUACGGAGUUGCCCUAUACUCAGGGAUAACUGGCCGAAAGGUCAGCUAAUACCGGAUGCCCCCGCAAGGGGAAAGAUUUUAUCGGUAUAGGAGACUCGUGCGGCCUAUCAGCUUGUUGGUGAGGUAACUGCUCACCAAGGCUAUGACGGGUAGCUGGUCUGAGAGGACGAUCAGCCACGAUGGGACUGAGACACGGCCCAUACUCCUACGGGAGGCAGCAGUAAGGAAUCUUCCGCAAUGGGCGAAAGCCUGACGGAGCGACACCGCGUGGAGGAUGACGGCCCACUGGGUUGUAAACUCCUUUUCUCAGGGAAGAAGUUCUGACGGUACCUGAGGAAUAAGCCCCGGCUAAUUACG